AAAUUGAAGAGUUUGAUCAUGGCUCAGAUUGAACGCUGGCGGCAGGCCUAACACAUGCAAGUCGAGCGGAAACGAGUUAUCUGAACCUUCGGGGAACGAUAACGGCGUCGAGCGGCGGACGGGUGAGUAAUGCCUAGGAAAUUGCCCUGAUGUGGGGGAUAACCAUUGGAAACGAUGGCUAAUACCGCAUGAUGCCUACGGGCCAAAGAGGGGGACCUUCGGGCCUCUCGCGUCAGGAUAUGCCUAGGUGGGAUUAGCUAGUUGGUGAGGUAAGGGCUCACCAAGGCGACGAUCCCUAGCUGGUCUGAGAGGAUGAUCAGCCACACUGGAACUGAGACACGGUCCAGACUCCUACGGGAGGCAGCAGUGGGGAAUAUUGCACAAUGGGCGCAAGCCUGAUGCAGCCAUGCCGCGUGUAUGAAGAAGGCCUUCGGGUUGUAAAGUACUUUCAGUCGUGAGGAAGGUAGUGUAGUUAAUAGCUGCAUUAUUUGACGUUAGCGACAGAAGAAGCACCGGCUAACUCCGUGCCAGCAGCCGCGGUAAUACGGAGGGUGCGAGCGUUAAUCGGAAUUACUGGGCGUAAAGCGCAUGCAGGUGGUUUGUUAAGUCAGAUGUGAAAGCCCGGGGCUCAACCUCGGAAUUGCAUUUGAAACUGGCAGACUAGAGUACUGUAGAGGGGGGUAGAAUUUCAGGUGUAGCGGUGAAAUGCGUAGAGAUCUGAAGGAAUACCGGUGGCGAAGGCGGCCCCCCUGGACAGAUACUGACACUCAGAUGCGAAAGCGUGGGGAGCAAACAGGAUUAGAUACCCUGGUAGUCCACGCCGUAAACGAUGUCUACUUGGAGGUUGUGGCCUUGAGCCGUGGCUUUCGGAGCUAACGCGUUAAGUAGACCGCCUGGGGAGUACGGUCGCAAGAUUAAAACUCAAAUGAAUUGACGGGGGCCCGCACAAGCGGUGGAGCAUGUGGUUUAAUUCGAUGCAACGCGAAGAACCUUACCUACUCUUGACAUCCAGAGAACUUUCCAGAGAUGGAUUGGUGCCUUCGGGAACUCUGAGACAGGUGCUGCAUGGCUGUCGUCAGCUCGUGUUGUGAAAUGUUGGGUUAAGUCCCGCAACGAGCGCAACCCUUAUCCUUGUUUGCCAGCGAGUAAUGUCGGGAACUCCAGGGAGACUGCCGGUGAUAAACCGGAGGAAGGUGGGGACGACGUCAAGUCAUCAUGGCCCUUACGAGUAGGGCUACACACGUGCUACAAUGGCGCAUACAGAGGGCAGCCAACUUGCGAAAGUGAGCGAAUCCCAAAAAGUGCGUCGUAGUCCGGAUUGGAGUCUGCAACUCGACUCCAUGAAGUCGGAAUCGCUAGUAAUCGUGGAUCAGAAUGCCACGGUGAAUACGUUCCCGGGCCUUGUACACACCGCCCGUCACACCAUGGGAGUGGGCUGCAAAAGAAGUAGGUAGUUUAACCUUCGGGGGGACGCUUACCACUUUGUGGUUCAUGACUGGGG
rnacentral:rRNA from 1 species